AGGCCAAGGCUUUUGAAAAGCGGGUCGUGGCCCAGUGAUCAAUGAAGAACUCAGGGACAUCCCAAAACUCAGGACUAUAAGGCACAAUGCGGGAGCAGGUACCAGGUGGCCAGCAUCCUAAAUGACUCUCAGCAGCUGCAGAGAAUGUAAAUAACAAGGGCUGCCAAUAAAUCUACCUCAGAGGACAAAGGAAAAACCAGAACUCUGCCAGGGAGACUUUACUUUACUAACCAGGUGACCAAAUUUCUAAAACAUCAUUCCCGUAAUCCCUGAUCAACAGAAAGGAAGCUCUGGAAGCAUGAAUGCUCAACCAUAUUUAUCAGCCUUCCUGUGGUCAUUUAUCUAAGCUCCAGCUAGUGAAGUGUGAGUAGAACAGACAUGCACCACUUACAGGCCUGGCACCUGCAAAGCCCCCACGGCAACCCUCCAACCCUUUGCUCAGCAACUGUACUGUGCUGGAAAGAACUGAGGAUCUAGAGGAGGACAGGGCUGUAAUAUGGAAGGAGCUUGGUUUCUGAAGGACUAAUGUAGCAGGCCACCUGCAGAGCGGGAACAUCUUUAAUAGGUUUGGAAUAGCAAGAAAUAAACUGGUCUUGUGUUAAA